rnacentral:rRNA from 1 species
CCUACGGGUGGCAGCAGUAAGGAAUAUUGGUCAAUGGACGAGAGUCUGAACGAGCCAAGUAGCGUGAAGGAUGACUGCCCUAUGGGCUGUAAACUUCUUUUAUAUGGGAAUAAAAUGUUCCACGUGUGGGAUUUUGUAUGUACCAUAUGAAUAAGGAUAGGCUAACUCCGUGCCAGUAGCCGCGGUAAUACGGAGGAUCCGAGCGUGAUCCGGAUUUAUUGGGUUUAAAGGGAGCGUAGGUGGAUUGUUAAGUCAGUUGUGAAAGUUUGCGGGUCAAUCGUAAAAUUGCAGUUGAAACUGGCAAUCUUGAGUACAGUAGAGGUGAGCGGAAUUCGUGGUGUAGCGGUGAAAUGCUUAGAUAUCACGAAGAACUCCGAUUGCGAAGGCAGCUCACUGGACUGCAACUGACACUGAGGCUCGAAAGUGUGGGUAUCAAACAGGAUUAGAUACCCGAGUAGUC